CAGUAGCCACGGUAAUACGGAGGGUGCAAGCGUUAAUCGGAAUUACUGGGCGUAAAGGGUGCGUAGGCGGUUGUUUAAGUCUGUUGUGAAAUCCCCGAGCUUAACUUGGGAACUGCAUCUGAAACUGGCAAGCUAGAGUCUUGUAGAGGGGGGUAGAAUUCCAGGUGUAGCGGUGAAAUGCGUAGAGAUCUGGAGGAAUACCGGUGGCGAAGGCGGCCCCCUGGACAAAGACUGACGCUCAGGUGCGAAAGCGUGGGGAGCAAACAGGAUUAGAGACCCGCGUAGUCCCUGUCUCUUAUAA
rnacentral:rRNA from 1 species